UACGUAGGGUGCAAGCGUUAAUCGGAAUUACUGGGCGUAAAGCGUGCGCAGGCGGUUCUAUAAGACAGAUGUGAAAUCCCCGGGCUCAACCUGGGAACUGCAUUUGUGACUGUAGAGCUGGAGUGCGGCAGAGGGGGAUGGAAUUCCGCGUGUAGCAGUGAAAUGCGUAGAUAUGCGGAGGAACACCGAUGGCGAAGGCAAUCCCCUGGGCCUGCACUGACGCUCAUGCACGAAAGUGUGGGGAGCAAACAGG
rnacentral:rRNA from 1 species